AGGGAGAAAAUAGUCCCAUUCCCCAAAGUUUAAAUGCAGCCAGGUGUUUUCCAUUUGCACCAAUUAACUAUCAUUAACAAGGAACUGAAAGUAGAGAGCACGUGGUUCCAGGGGGAACCAAAUGGAGGACACAGGAAGUCGGCCAUCUUGACAGACAGAUCUGGACGGCAACAACAAUGAUGAUUUGGAACUUGGAAAUGAAUACAGAAGGAUAGACAUGGCAGCCCAAUGGAAGGAAGGACCGGUCAGAAACUGAUAGUAAAGCUAAGUAUUCAUCCUUAAAGUAUGCUGUUAACGCAGCGCUCUUUUGAGUAAAGCAAGGACCGUGUAGCGUUUGACAGUUGACUCAGAAGUAAAGAUACUUGGCAGAAACAUUUAUAGUUACUGUUAUUAAUUGUGGUUUAUGGCAAGGUGUUGUACUGCUUCCCUUCAAGAAACCCCCCUCCAUGACUGACACCCCGGAGGAGCGAACAGGCACCAACUGAGGGACGGACCAGUUCUCUAUACACACCCGAGACACGAGGUCCUACCCUACUUAAGCUAAGUACCAGUGGCUGGGUCGGAAGAGUAGGGAGGGCCGAGACUGGGGUGUACAUCAGGAAUGGCCAGGGACACAGAGGGAGUGUGGAGAAUAAGUGCUGUUUGUUCUUCUGUUACAGGAUCCUGUGUCGUGGAGCUGGAGAGGGGGAUCGAGCAUGAAGGGAGCUAAAUACAAGCCUUGCACCGGGACAAACCAACGGAUUAGGAGGUUUUUGGAUCGGUCACCUUUAACGUUACCUUUCCUUGUUGGCCUUUCUACCGGGACAGUUUUUGGCAACUUGGAUUAAGUACAGGACCUACAAAUAUACUGGAACUAUCGUUUCACCAGCCUGCUGCUUAUAUUGUUGGGGACUGGUUGUGGUAAUAUAUUGUGUGGAGCUGAAUAAUUGCAGAACUGCCUAAUUCUCAGAACUUUCCGUAAUUGCUCUGAUUUGUAGCAGAAAAAUAUGAUGCUCCGAUCACACUGUAAAAAAUUACGGAAGUGACAUAUUGCCCUUGCACCCAUAGAAAUUACCGGUAUAUGCAAUUUCUAUCAACACUCAAACUUUGAAAAGUUGAGGCGGCUCCACCUCCCUUGCCUCCUCUAAGGAGCCACGGCUGAUUGGUUUAAAUCAGGUUACCUAGCAGGGAACCAAUCACGAAUACUGAUUUGUGAGUUUGAUAACAUCCGGUUCAGUUUUGAUUCUUCAUGCUGAUCUCCUGAUUGGACCUAGUUCAGACAAUGCAAAUUCUUUAAAAUGAAAUGUUUUCUGCAAAGCGUUUCUACUAAAACUACAAAAAAGCCAAAGGUGAGCAAAACCAAACAAGAACCUACUCAAAGUUACGAUUACGGCGAUCGUGCAACUGGUACGACUCAGUCGCUCGCAAAGAAAUCAAAGACUCGUCUACAUUUGCAGAAGUUUCAAGCUGAGUACUCGCAGUUAUGGCCUGCAUUGAAGAUGUCAAAGAAAGAGGAGAAGUUUGCUUUCUGCGAUGUAUGCAGUCAUUUCUGUCGCACACGGAGGAAAGGACGACUGCAGAAGACAUACCGCCUCACAAAAGCACAACAAAUAUUUGAAACUGAAGCAAAAUUCUAAGAACAUUAAAAGCUUUUUUCAAAAUCAAGAGCAUGAUCUGAUGGACAGUCUGCCAGUUCUACAUCAACCAGGAAAUCUGCCAUUUCUGCAUCAACCAGGAAGUCUGCCAGUUCUGCAUCAACUAGGAAGUCUGCCAGUUCUACAUCAACCAGGAAAUCUGCCAUUUCUGCAUCAACCAGGAAGUCUGCCAGUUCUGCAUCAACUAGGAAGUCUGCCAGUUCUACAUCAACCAGGAAAUCUGCCAUUUCUGCAUCAACCAGGAAGUCUGCCAGUUCUACAUCAACCAGGAAGUCUGCCAGUUCUGCAUCAGGUAGCAAGUCUGUACCUGCUGUUUCUUCACAAUAUACUUCCUGUGCUUAAUGACGUAAACUUGGAAUUGCAAUGAGAGACCCCAAUGAUCCAUGCUGUCAGAAGGAAAUUAUUUAAACUUUUGAGAAAUGUGCUUUCCAGAUUUGUCAAACCAAGUGCUAUGAUCUACAAAGCUGUGACUUGAGGUGCAGUACAAUCUAGUUUACAACCAGAAUGACAAUAAGGAGCUAAUCAUUGGAGAUUCAAGACAAUGUUUCAUAGACAAUGCUCACCAAAAUGGUCUUCAUCCAGAAGAUGUGGAAGAAUUCUUCGAGAAUGUGAAGACGUUCUUCACAGCUGCCUGUGUCUACAUGCUUAAGAAGAUGCCUCUUAAUGAUCCUGUUUUGCAGCACAUAGAAGUAGCAGGUGUCAGCCAGUGCCUGAACAGCAACACAUCCUCUCUCCGUUAUUUUAGUUUUAAGUGUUUUUAAAAUAGGUUUUAUAUUGAAAUCCCGUGCAAGGUGGUUUGAAAAGGGGGAUUUUGCAAAGUGUCUUAUAAAGUAAAUUGUAUUCAGUUGUAUAAUUUCCUGUAAUACAGAAAUCAUUAUUUUA